rnacentral:rRNA from 1 species
CGUGUAGGCGGUUUCUUAAGUCGAAUGUGAAAGCCCCGGGCUCAACCCGGGAAGUGCAUUGGAUACUGGGAGACUUGAAUACGGGAGAGGGUAGUGGAAUUCCUAGUGUAGGAGUGAAAUCCGUAGAUAUUAGGAGGAACACCGGUGGCGAAGGCGGCUACCUGGACCGAUAUUGACGCUGAGACGCGAAAGCGUGGGGAGCAAACAGGAUUAGAUACCCUGGUAGUCCACGCCGUAAACGAUGAGAACUAGGUGUUGCGGGUAUUGACCCCUGCAGUGCCGCAGCUAACGCAUUAAGUUCUCCGCCUGGGAGGUACGGUCGCAAGACUAAA